AGCUACGGCCAUACACACCUGAAAACUCCGCAUCCCGUCCGAUCUGCGAAGAUAACCAGGUGCUGGCCCGGUCAGUACUGUCGUNN
rnacentral:rRNA from 1 species